rnacentral:rRNA from 1 species
AUUGAACGCUGGCGGCAGGCCUAACACAUGCAAGUCGAGCGGAUGAAGAGAGCUUGCUCUCUGAUUUAGCGGCGGACGGGUGAGUAAUGCCUAGGAAUCUGCCUGGUAGUGGGGGAUAACGUUCCGAAAGGAACGCUAAUACCGCGUACGUCCUACGGGAGAAAGCAGGGGACCUUCGGGCCUUGCGCUAUCAGAUGAGCCUAGGUCGGAUUAGCUAGUUGGUGAGGUAAUGGCUCACCAAGGCGACGAUCCGUAACUGGUCUGAGAGGAUGAUCAGUCACACUGGAACUGAGACACGGUCCAGACUCCUAAGGGAGGCAGCAGUGGGGAAUAUUGGACAAUGGGCGAAAGCCUGAUCCAGCCAUGCCGCGUGUGUGAAGAAGGUCUUCGGAUUGUAAAGCACUUUAAGUUGGGAGGAAGGGCAGUAAGUUAAUACCUUGCUGUUUUGACGUUACCGACAGAAUAAGCACCGGCUAACUUCGUGCCAGCCGCCGCCGUAAGAC